AUGGAAGUUGACAAGUGGAAGAACAAGAUCCACUGUGUGUGCAACGGCAACAAUAAAUAUCAUAUCAUGUCAUUUGACUUCCCGGAGAACUACAUAUUCCUGGCUAUUGGAAGGGUCAGGUCAAGUACUGAGUUGAUUGCCCAGAGAGUUGAGUUUGUACAGGAGGCUGAUAAAAGAAGUCACUUGAUGGAUCUGCUCCAUGUGCAAAGAGACAGUUCAGAUCAAGGGAGUUUCUCUUAA
rnacentral:rRNA from 1 species